rnacentral:rRNA from 1 species
AGCAGCCGCGGUAAUUCCAGCUCCAAUAGCGUAUAUUAAAGUUGUUGCAGUUAAAAAGCUCGUAGUUGAAUUUCGGGAUCAUCAGGUUGGUCGUGCCUCCGGUAUGUACUUGCUUCGGUGGUCCCUCCUUCUUGAAGAACCGUAAUGCCAUUAAUUUGGUGUUGCGGGGAAACAGGACUGUUACUUUGAAAAAAUUAGAGUGUUUAAAGCAGGCAAUCGCUUGAAUACAUUAGCAUGGAAUAAUGAAAUAGGACGUUCGAUCCUAUUUUGUUGGUUUCUAGGAUUGACGUAAUGAUUAAUAGGGAUAGUUGGGGGCAUUAGUAUUCAAUUGUCAGAGGUGAAAUUCUUGGAUUUAUUGAAGACUAACUACUGCGAAAGCAUUUGCCAAGGAUGUUUUCAUUAAUCAAGAACGAAAGUUAGGGGAUCGAAGACGAUCAGAUACCGUGUAGUCUUAACCAUAAACUAUGCCGACUAGGGAUCGGAUGAUG